UAGUACCAGUACCUUGUGUUCAGUGGAACCAAGGUAAACACAAGGUAUUGGUAUUACC
rnacentral:pre_miRNA from 1 species